rnacentral:piRNA from 1 species
UCCUAAACUUGGAAUUUGUGGC